GACGGGACGGGGCUGUCAGCGAGGGGCGGCGUUCGGAGACGAGGAGCCGGCUGGGACAUUUUUAUCGAGGGCUGUGUAAUCUCGGAGACACGUCAUGAACAAGAACUGGGAGGGUUUCAGCAUUUUCACUGAUGACGACAGAAUAUCAGAAUUAGCAGCAAAUAACGUUAACGUGGGUGCAAAAAACGUUGUGUAACGAAGAGUUUGGAAAGGUUUUCUAUUUAACCCUAGACAAUGCGACCAGUCGAAAAGGUACUCUUUCAAUUUGACAUCAUGGCACCAAAUAGAGAAAUACCCCUAUCACGAGCUUAGAAAAGCAAUUACAGGUGGUGAUUUAUCAAAAACAGUGAAGUGGUCUAAAUAACAAAUUCAUUUUCACAGCAGGAAAUGCUGGGUUAUUUUGUAAUUAGCGGUUUUAGUAAUUUUCUUCGUCAAUGUGCUAUAAUUGUUGCAUGUUUUUGUAAUAUCUGUUGGCAAAAUGGCUUCAUUCUUUCCUGGGCCUCCUAUUGUUUUUGUAUUUCAUGUCUUAGAGACCAAAAUUAGAUUAUCAUUCUCACAGUACUGCAUGAAACAGGAUUUAGAAAGUGAUUAGGUAAAUUCAUGAGGAGAAAGAAAAUCCACUGUGAUCUGUUAGCUACAAAGAUUGCUGGAAGUUGCACUGAUGACAGAUUGCUGUGGUACAUCCCUUCCUUUCAACUGUCCUGAGGGUUCUACCAUCGAGAGAGCACUACAGCUGUCUGGUCUGGUUCUGAAGAUCCGUGAGAAGAACAAAAAGAAAUACAGUGAUUAGGACUGCCUGCACUUCUGGCUUUGAACUCUGCCAAGCACAAGGUCGCCUACUUAUUAGGUGGUUCUUCAUUUUACUGGAGUGAACCUCAUUAAAAACACUGAAGCUUUAAAGCAUGUCAGACUUUCUUUGAUGCCACCUAGAUUGUCUUCUUUUCCCCCCAGUGUUUCUUCUGCCCUUUGAAGAAGCAGAUUGCAAUAUAGAAAGAGCUCACCCCCACCUCCCACUGCUCCCCACACGAAGGCUUCUUUCCAUCUGAUCUGUCGUCCAUCUCUCUUCUGCAUCAGUAUUCAUUUCCAGGUCCCUCAAGUACAGUUCAGAUGGGCGAUAUUCCUCUGCUCCCCACUUCACCAACUGCUAGCUAUUUUUAAUGAGGAUGACUGAGAAUUUGAGGGAUACCAGGGAUACUUUGACUGAUUGUGCCAUCUUUGCUGCAACAAGUAAAGCACUUGAGAUGGUUAUUAAUAGGGCCCAAAUAGUUCUGAUCAGAAUGUGUCAAAACAAAUGAUAAUGAGGGUUCAAAUGCCAAGGUUUAGUUUGGCCCUAACACAAAGCCAAUAUUUUGACUGAAGCUCAUCUUUAAUUAUCAUCAAAAGUACUUUAUACUUGUUUAAUCAAGAGCUUAACAUUUUGGAUGUAAAGGUGCUUUGGAUACUUACUUCAAGAGGCUCAUGUUCAAGCUUAGAGUAUCCUGUCUCUUAAUUAGGGAUUCUGUUGCUAUCUCACCAGACCCUGGCUUUUAUUAUGUCAUGAAACAAGAUCCUCCUCUUAGGAACUGUAGCUCUGAGAUAGCUUAUCCAAGAUUUAAAAUGAAAAAAAAAAAAAAAGUCAUUUUAAAUGUAGAUGUAACAAAUUCAGUCUUUUUAUAUUACCAGUAUCCAAGGCAAAUGGAAGAUUUCCUUUAUUUGCAGCCUGCCAUUGCAUUUUAAGUCCAGGAACUGCUCUUUAAUUCAGACACAAGUGAGAUUUGUCACACGUAUGCUCCUUCGUGCUGCAUCUGCUUCCCUGGCUUCUGGUUUUCAUGUAAAUGAUAGCUCUCUUAAUCUUCAGAAAGUGAAAAGUUUGGGAUUAUUGUUACCACAUUUGUCAUUUAGCACUCUCUCAUGCAACUUUCCUGUACAUUUUCUGAAAUAGUUUUGCCAUCCCUCAUAAGGCAGCCUCCCCAAGGCCCUCUUGCCUGUUCCCACGUCAGCUCUCUUAGAGCUGAGGAUUGUUUUAGCUACUUCCCCUAAUACAUUUCAAGUUUAAUUACAUGAUGAUCAAUAUGUCUCAGAUGUGCCACAACCUCAGAUUUAAAUUUUUUUUUAAUGCUUGGCUCUCUUCCUCAAUUAUUCCAAAUCAGCCCUUGGCUGACACAAGAAGCCUCAAUAAACUGCAUUAAAAACAAUUUUGAAUUUGUGGAAGGGCUCAACGUCUGAAGAGCUGAUGCACACUUUAGGGAUGAACUCCACCUGAGCACAGAGCAGUAGGUUGGUUUGCUUUGCAUUGGCAGCAGGCAAGGGAACAGCAAAUAGAAACGUUAAUUCACCGUCUUGUUUCCGUUCCUCCCUGGUAACAGGGUUUUACAACCGACUUCCUGUGCCUGUAUUGAUUUUCUGGAGUCAAAGAACAAAAAGAUAGAGCAUGAGGAUUCACGUGACCAGCCUUUAAGCAGGUAGUUUUAUCACAACACGUUCUUGCACAAACUCAAGCAGCGUAAGGACACGGCCUGAAGACUUUCAGUGACACUAAUAGUUGCAAACCUGUGUACACCCCAGCUUCAGAUUUGGGACUUUGGGAUCUUCUUUUCCUCUAACAUUGGGAUUAUCAGUAAAAAUAGUAGACAAAAACCUCUGGCAGUGCUGUGAGUUAAAUCUGUGUCCUUCACGUUCAGUUCCAAACUUCUGACGGAGAAAAGAAUUCAAAUCAUUCUUAACCAAAGGAUAAUUUUCCCAUUUUAGGACAGGCUUCAGUCAUGUACCGAAGGGCGGACCAUCUGAAAAGGCAGAAUUCAGAUCUGCAGGCUGACAGAAGGGAGGAACUUUGUCUGCUGCCCUCAGCACCUCGCUUAUAAAUUCUACCCACCAACUGCAGUUCUUCCAACAGUUUUAGAAGCAUGGCUGUAAAACCACAGCUGCCCGAAGUGCUGCGUUAUGCACUUGUACUUGAAUUUACUUAUUGAGCUGUCUGUCUAGCAAAUGGAAAAACUGAAGUAAAUAUUUUCAAUAUGAAAUCUGAAACGUGUAUGAAUUAAGCCCCAAAGAAGCUUGGCUUCCUGAAUCAUUUCUGCAAAAAAAUUCUCAUCCAUACAAGGUUAUUUAAUCCAAGUCAAUACUAAGAAACUCAGAGAGAUGAAAACUGUCAUAUAAAAGUGAAACUGAAGUUCUUCGAGGGCUUCAUUUCCAUCCACUGUUAUUUUUAUUGGAAUGAGCAAAGCUUAGAAUAUGGUAAUAUUUAUUUAUUUAUUUUUGCCAAGAUUUUGACUUAACAGCUUCUGAUCAGCAGCAUUUUUUCAACAGCAUUUUUAUGAAGGAGCCCAUGUGUAUGGGAACAAGCAAUGCAUUUUCUGCCUUCAGUACUGUAGUCUAAUCAAGCCAGCUCAAAGGCAAAUGCAGUCUUUCAAGCAGUCAGUAUAUUUUUGUAUUUGAAUGUAAUGUGUUGAAACUACUCAGAUUUAACAGGGAGCUGCAAAUGCAUGCACUGCCAACCACAUGAAUUAUAGCCCUUCUGGUUAUGGUGGGAUCGCUAUGUUUAUCACCAGCAUUGCUACAACCCUACACGCUUCUGCUAUAGAAAAGGCAGGAUGCGUUAAACAGGGGACAUCUGCAAGGGCAAGAAACAGUCAGUAGAGUACUAAAACUGCACACUUACAGUUUUUAAGAGUUGAAAAGCCAAGCACACCUCCUUUCUGCCACAGCCUGCAUGCUUCUUCAUACUGUCUCAUACAAGUGGGAGUACUGUCAGUUCCUACUAGUCUGAGCAAGAAAAUGCUACUUAUGUGGAACGUAAUCAAUGCACAUCACGUACUAUGGCUAUAAUAAAG
ensembl:lncRNA